AGUCCUUUCCUGCAUCGAUGUCUCUCCUGGGAUCUGGUGAGUCUCCUCUCUCUCUGGGAUCUGGUGGGGGUCCCAGGGCUGCAGCAGGGGAGGGGGCUGGGGGGACCCCAAGUCAGGGAGGAGAGGGUCCUGCCAGGGAGGGGCCAGGUCUGCCACGCUCUCCUUCCUGCAGAUCAGAGGGUCCCAAACUCAUUUGGCCUUCCGCCCCCCCUUCAGAAAAACAAUGACUCCCACGAAAUCUCAUUUCUUUAAACAAAGGAGUCCCUAGAACUUUGACUCUCUGUGACGUCUGUCAGCAUCAGUGCACAACAGAGGGAACAUGUGCAAAUGGUUUUCCAAAGCUGGACGAGGAGCUGGACUAGCCCCCCCCCCAAAGAAAACCCCACAGGGAAGGAGAAAGAAAAGGUGGGAGAGAAAGGAGAGGAGUAAAGAGAGGGAUCCCAGCCCACAGUCUGGCUGCUGCAUUGGGGACCAGUUUCCCAGUGUCUCCCAGGGCAGCUCCCCACAGAGGCCACUGCAGCAUCCCCUCGCACCCAGAGCAGGGCAUCCCAGGACCACAUCCUCUCUGUCCCAAAGGGGUUGUUGCUGUCAAAGCAGCCGGAAAUGGGCGCUGCUACUCACUGAGCCUCCAGGGACCUGGGCAUCAAUGGCUGUGCGUGUGUUCAGCCAUCUAAGAGAAUAAUAAUGUCCAGAUACAUUCCUGGCCCUCAGAGCAAAGAAAAAGGGACCCCACCCCAGGAGUCUGUCUGGAGAGUGGCAGAGAGACCAAGUGCAAGAAAAGGAGACAGAAGCAGGGGAGUGGGGGUGGGGGGGAGCAACUCCUGAGGACCCCCGGAUGAGGACCCCCACUAGAGCCAAGUAUCCAUUUUCCACAAGACACAAAUUAUUCCCUUGUCAGUCAGUUCUAACUUCAUGCAUUUACUCGAAGGCAGGAGCAACUAGACUGAUUCACCUCAGAGAAAUCCCUUCAGUUGCCUCCACGUUUUGCAUUGCAAUCUUCCUUCUAGGAGGGCUAGAGUCUGCUUCCUCCUCCUCCUCUUCUCCUUCUUCUUCUUCUUCCUCCUCCUCCUCCUCCGUCUUCUUCUUCAGAAGAUAUCUCAUGGUUUGGUACAGUCCCACCCUGGUUCCUAGGAAGACUCAUCCGUGCUUGCUCAAGGAACAUUUCUCUUCUUAUGACCUAAAAAUUCUGUAACUAAACAAUGUAUUUGCUUUGUAGGAUUUGCUAGCACCUCAUUAGCACAGGCAGAACUUGGCAGAAGACCAAAGGGUUCCUUCCAAUCUCUUAGAGACUUCCUGAGAGCACAGAUGGAUGAGCAAGACUCAGCUAGUCCUGGAGCAGGAAGAGGCCAUGCCAUCCAAACUGGGAGCAGUGGGGGAUUCUGGGAAAACUCUGUGCAGAAGAUCCUGGGUGAGGAGGACACCCUCCGCUCAGAGCUGCAGAGCCAGCAGUUGAGGCAGUUCUGCUGCCAGGAGGCCAAAGGACCCCGAGAAGUUUGCAGCCGACUCUACCACUUUUGCCACCAAUGGCUGAAGCCAGAAAGGCACACGAAAGCUGAGAUGCUGGACCUGGUGAUCUUGGAGCAGUUCCUGGCUGUCCUUCCUCUGGAGAUGGAGAGCUGGGUGAGGGACUGUGGAGCGGAGACCAGUUCGCAGGCGGUGGCCCUGGCCGAAGGUUUCCUCCUGAGUCAGGCAGAGGAGAGAAAGCAGGUGAGAGAGACUUUCCUCUGGAUACUCCCAAGGGGAUCCAAACAGGUCAGAAAACAUCCCAUAAUGGUCUGCUGAUGGCCCAUUCUUUUUCUGCAAGGCAUCCAUGGAAUGAGAUCUAACACCCUUAAAGAUUCUGUCUCUGUCAUUCUCUUUCUAACAUUUCUCGCCAUUCAUUCUCUGUUUUGAAUCCUUGUUGCUCUUUCAGAAAACGGAUCAUUUUGCAGAAAUGGACCUGGAUUCCUGUGAGGCAGAGAGGCCUCCGUUGGACACCAGAGAGAGGCCACUGGGUAAGGAGGAAGGUGGCUUUUCUCCGUUUGGUCUUGUUCUGUUGGUUUUCCAACUAAUCUGUGAGUUCUUUUUGGGGGGGGGGGGAGGACAGUUGGGAACAAGGGUCCAAAGGAAGGGAGUAGUAAUUUUGUACAACUAACAUAUGAAAUGGGCACAAACGUCCAACUGCACUCAGCAGGUAAGGCUUUCUGAAAGGCCCAUAUGUCGUUAGAGAUGCCCUGUUUCACCUGUGAGAGACGUGGGCAUUCCUUGCAUCCUGCUUACGUUUUUUCUCUUGCAGGUGACAGAAGGAUGCUGGCAAAACCUCCUGAUCCAUCUUUUCAUGGGGGCAGAAGAGAAACAGCGGCUGUGGAACCAGAUCAGGUCAGGGGAAGCUGCCUUGUGGGGACAGAGGCUGAGGGAUGGAGCAAUGUCAUGGACUGGUUGGGCACAGAGGAAUGGUGGGAGGAAGCAGCCAGGGAACCAGGAAAGGAAGACAUCUCAGAGCCCAAGGAGUGAAGGUGGAGGAAGGAUGAGUGGUCAGAUGGAGAAACCUGGGAAGAGGAGGUGUCAGAGGCUGAAGGGGUAACAGGGCUUAGUGAGCUGGGAGGCUUUGAGGCAGAAUGCAGUCCAGAAUCGGAGGCAGAAGAGGAAGGAGGCGAGUGGGAGGAGGAAGGUCGAGAGUCAGAGCUGAGUCAGGAGAAGGAGGAGCCACUGGGGGCUCCCUCUCCUUAUGCCAGAAGCCACCCUCCCUGCUUGUCUCUCUGAGCCAGGAGUUGUCUGACAAUGGAGGAGCAAAGGCAGGCUGCACACUGACGCACUGUUCAAUCGCUUGCCAGAAACCUCAGAGAGGAGGGGGCUUGGAAAGCUGGGGAAUCGGGGGACUUCACUCUUGGCAACUGCUUUUGUGGGGGAAGACCCUGACAUGGAAUUCGACUCAGUAUUGAUCCAGAGCAGAACUCCAAUGUAUAGUUAGCAGAGUGAAAUUGUAAAGACGUUGCAGGAUUCCCCAAAAUAGACCAGAGGCAAUUGUAUUUCAUCCAGCGGAGUUUUACUGCUAUUGAAGGCAAAUGAGCAUAAUCUGUUCACAAAUCUAAAAUGUUCAGGAUUGGCCCUGUCCAUAAGAAAUCCAGUUGCAGACUUAACUGAAAUUUCCCACAACUUAUUAUAAGUUUAAACCUUAAGACUCAGCAUACUAUGUACAGAACACCAGAAGGAAGAGAGAUAGAACGAGAAAGUGAAACCCGGGCUCCUUCUGGCCUCUUCUUAUAUUCAGCAUGACCUUGACAGAAGAGAUGACAGAACCACUUUAACCCAGCUGUACUCAGCUUCUCUGAAGGAGUAACGGAAAGAUCAGGAACCUUCUGCUUGUUUCUUUUACGCAGAGAAGCUUCCGGAACCCUCUUGAAUUAAUUAGCAUUGUUGUUGUUGUUUAGUCAUUUACAGUGGUGCCCCGUAAGACGAAUGCUUCGCAAGACGAAAAACUCGCUAGACGAAAGAGUUUUCCAUUUUUUGAGUCGUUCCGCAAGACGAAUUUCCCUAUGGGCUUGCUUCGCAAGACGAAACGUCUUGCGAGUUCUUGCGAGUUUGUUUCCUUUUCCUUAAAGCCGCUAAGCCGUUAAUAGCCGCUAAGCCGUUAAUAGCCGCUAAGCCGCUAAUAGCCGUGCUUCGCAAGACGAAAAAACCGCAAGACAAAGAGACUCGCGGAACGGAUUAAUUUCGUCUUGCGAGGCACCACUGUAGUCGUGUCCGACUCUUCGUGACCCCAUGGACCAGAGCACGCCAGGCACUUCUGUCUUCCACUGCCUCCCGCAGUAUGGUCAAACUCAUGCUGGUAGCUUCGAGAACACUGUCCCACCAUCUCGUCCUCUGUCGUCCCCUUCUCCUUGUGCCUUCCAUCUUUCCCAGCAUCAGGGUCUUUUCCAGGGAGUCUUCUCUUCCCAUGAGGUGGCCAAAGUAUUGGAGCCUCAGCUUCAGGAUCUGUCCUUCCAGUGAGCACUCAGGGCUGAUUUCCUUAAGAAUGGAUAGGUUUGAUCUUCUUGCAGUCCAUGGGACUCUCAAGAGCCUCCUCCAGCACCAGAAUUCAAAAGCAUCAAUUCUUCGGCGAUCAGCCUUCUUUAUGGUCCAGCUCUCACUACCAUACAUCACUACUGGGAAAACCAUGGCUUUUACUAUACGGACCUUUGUUGGUGUAAUGGAUUUAGGGGUUGCUCGUGCGUAAUUUGCCGCCACUGCUGGCGAGGUUACCUGGUUAAACCCUUUCUGACUGAACAGCCUCCAGCAUCGUGACUGUCUCAGUCGCUGGCAGAAUCCGUCAGUGGGCGUUUCUUGAACCUUUUCCAGCAUAAAAGUUGUUUGACGCCAAGUCUCCUCCUACUCUCCCUGCGCGGAAGUCUUCUGCGCAGGGAGGGUGUGGGCAGCGGAGUACCCGUACUCUCUCCGCUGGUCUCCGGCGAGGAGUCUUGGAGCCUCCUCUCCGAUUCCCCCAUCUGCCCCCCUUCUCCACUGGUGUUACACUGAUUUCCUUCCCCAGCAGAUGGGCUGCCUCUCUCCCUACUGGGGCCCUCUCCUGCAUCCCUCUGGAGCCUUCCCUCCGCCUCUAGCUCCGAUGGCAGUUCCCUGACAGUUGGCAAGGUGAUGUCUCUACUUUUUAAGAUGCUGUCUAGGUUUGUCAUUGCUUUUCUCCCAAGAAGCAGGCGCCUUUUAAUUUUGUGACUGCUGUCACCAUCUGCAGUGAUCAUGGAGCCCAAGAAAGUAAAAUCUCUCACUGCCUCCAUUUCUUCCCCUUCUAUUUGCCAGGAGAUGAUGGGACCAGUGGCCAUGAUCUUCGUUUUUUGAUGUUGAGCUUCAAACCAUAUUUUGCGCUCUCCUCUUUCACCCUCAUUGAAAGGUUCUUUAAUUCCUCCUCACCUUCUGCCAUCAGUGUUGUGUCAUCUGCAUAUCUGAGGUUGUUGAUAUUUCUUCCGGCAAUCUUAAUUCCAGCUAGGGAUUCAUCCAGUCCAGCCUUUCGCAUGAUGAAUUCUGCAUAUAAGUUAAAUAAGCAGGGAGACAAUAUACAGCCUUGUCAUACUCCUUUAUAGGAAAUAUCAAUAUCAGAGCCAUACUUUCUGCACUAAGAAAUGCAAAGUGACAGACCCUCCGGGAAUGAGCUGCUCUUCUCAUUAGGCCUGAAACUCAGCCAAGUCUGUGAAUAUCGUGUUCUUGCUGAUAAAGAGUUAACUCCAGCUGUGAAGUGUGGGAUUUCCUGCCCAGAUAACUCUGUGACACCAGCCUUCUGAAUGUCACCUGUAGGAUUCAUCUGUAGUUGCAGUUUUCAUGGAAUCCUAGAGUUGAAAGGGACCCCAAGAGUCAUCAAGUCCAACCCCCUGCACUGCAGGAGUCUCAGCUAGAUCAUCCAAGACAGAUGGCCAUCCUAACUAGGCUUAUUGUAUUUCUGGAUUGAUCACUGAGUGCUAAAAUAGGCUUCUAAGCGGUGGAUAGAUGAGAACAAAUAGAGGCCAGGAUUCUCCUAGCCAGCCCCAUCUGAUGCGAAAUAUAGCCUGCCCCCCACUCCUCCCCCUCUCCAAGCCCCCAUGAACCCCUUGAAUUUGGCUCUAGGGCACUGGGAGGGAACCUCCCCAGAACAGCACACGAGGAGAGGGGAAAGUGGAAUGCUUGUGUAGGCAGAAUAACGUAAACAUAAGCUGGAGUACCGACUUCCGGGGAGGCGCCUCCGGCAAUGGCUGGAUUCCUCUGAUCGGGAGGAAUCAGCUCCGUGGAAAUCUGGGUCUGGCCGCCACGGCGAAGGCGGAGACGCGUUAAAAAUCACAGGCGGGAGAAGCCUGUGAGCGUGGGAUUUGGCGGGCACCCUUUGCGCCUCCCCCACUCGUGGGGAAACCCGGUUUCGGGGAUCCGGAGCGACGUGGGGUGAGCAGUGCGGUGCUUCGAAUCAUCUGCUUCUUCCACGGAGCGAAGCCGCAUAGCUCUUGUCGGAGAGCGCUGACUUUUUCCUGUGGACAAUUUGACUCUAAAGUAACUACCCGUGAGUAGAGCUUAAUUGGGAAAAUUGGAUUUGUUAAAAAAAAAGGUCUAAUUUGGCAUCGAAACGGGGAAGGUUCAAUACAGGAAGUCCGCCUUCCCCUUUUGUAAAUAGACUGAAGCAACUGAGGCUGCAAGCUGAAGUCUUGGAAAGCCUUUUGCAAAAGACUAAAUUUCCAUAAGUAAAGAAAAUAAUCCCCCCCCCCUUGGAGGCAGGAGAAGAGGGGAGAGGGAAGUUGUCAACUGAGUUUGCCUGCGGAAGAGACCAAGAGAGGUAAAACACUGCCGCUUGGACCCUGGGAACGGGCUGCUAGAAGGUCCAACGUUUUGGUGAGACGUUUAUUGACAGUUCUUGGAGCGUGUUGACAGCUAGCAUAAGAGAAGAUACAUUGUUUCUACUGUUUCCAGCAGUGAAAGUAACUGAAAAUUGAAAUUAGUUUUGGGUCGUUUGAACUGUGCUUUAAGAGGAUAUUACUUAUCAAUACAAAUAGAAACUGUUUCCCUCUAGUGGAAGUUCUUGAAACUGGCGGCUACAUAAGAUCUGGGCUGGGAAAUUUUCAGUUGUAAGAUAAAAACCGUGAGAUUGUGAGUUGACCUUGAAUCUAUUGAGUGUUAUGGCAGAUGCGAAAGACGGAAUGUCGCCAGAAGAGGCCUUAGUGAUUGUACUAGUGAAAAUAAAUGAUUCGCUGGAACAGCUUCAUAAGAAAAUGGAUGUGAUAAAUAUGAAAGUGGAUGCUGCAAAUAUUAAAAAUGAUUUAAUGGUAGAAAGUCUAAAUAACCUGGGACAAAAGGUGAAUAUUAAUCCAGAAACCACCCAGAAAUUGAUACAGGAAUCUAUCCUGAUACGGCAAACUGCGGAUGAAGUUAAGGAGAAAACCCUCGCUGCUGAAGUCAAAGUAAUUCAACUGGAGAGAGAGAGUCCCAUCCAUACAAGGACGAUUUGAUGAAUACGAGCUGACACCUGAUAUGACUGAACUUAAAGAGAAACAGAUGAAAUUGAGGAUCAGAGCCCUACCCGAGGAAAAGGAAACCUUGAUAGAGUUUCAGGAGGAGAUAGGACUAACAUUGGUUGAGAAAGAGAGGUAUUGCGGGGUUAGUAUGACCGUCAGAAAUGUGAAUUUAUUCAAGGGCAACUGUGAAGGACGUUGGCUUGAAGAGAAGGGGGAUUUGGAAAUAGGGCUAAAUUGGAAGCUGCUAUUGUUGGGCCGAGUUGCUGUGGUGGGGACGAGGGUUGCGGUGAGGUAGGGGAUGUUGCUUUUGUUUCAAACAUUGCAAGUUUUGGAUGGGAGGGAUUGUUUCAGGAGGUGGCAGAGGGAUGUUUCUAGAUCUGUAUGGCAGGGCAGGAAGCCUCGAGUAAAAUUUAAGAUAUUAACGGAUGCUAAAGAAGGAGGUGGACUUGCCCUGCCAGACCCCUAAAUUUUGUUGUGAAUCAUCUGCUUUUUGCUGGCUGAGAGAAUCGGCAGAAUCCGAGACCAGGGAGAAGAGCUGGUGGAAGAAGACUGGAAGUUUAAAGACUAUUUAUAGAAAUAUUGCAAAAUUAAUGAAUGUUAGAACAAAGUGGGAAUGAAGUUAUAUGGCUUUAGCAGAAAUGUUAUAAUGUUAUAAGGAAUUAAGUAUAAAUAGAUUAAUUGAGCAUUAAAGGGAAUAAAAUAAGGUUAGAAUGUGUUAAGAUAAUUAUAGGAUAGAAAACAGAGGAAGAUGGAAAGGAAUUGCUGAAAUAAUUAAUUGAUGUGGAAUACAAAAAGGGAGGUGUGAGGAAGUCGUGGAAAUAAGCGAAUGAAAGAUAUGACAUUGAAAUUGUUUAAAAUGGUCUUUGUUUUGUUUUAUUUGUCUUGCAUUGUAUUGUGUUGUUUUUUGUUUCUUUUUGCUUCUUUGCUUUGUUUCUUUUUUGUGUGUGUAACUUUUAAACUCUUAAUAAAUAUUAUUUUUUUAAAAAAAACAUAAGCUGGAGUACCACCUAUUUGCAAAAAGACGAAUACCCAUAGUUAAAAUGCAGAAUAAAAGAAUUCAAUUAAAGCGUUAAAAUAGGUACCGUAUUUUUCGGACUAUAGGACGCACCGGCCCAUAGGACGCACCUAGUUUUCAGGGGGGGAAAUCAAGGAAAAAAAUAUGAUUUCCCCCCCGCAGCUCUGGGAGCAGCGGACAGGCUGCACGCAGCCUGUCCGCUACUCCAAGACCUUCUCCCUGCUUUUGCGGGAGGUGGCGGAAUUCCCCCACCUCCCGCAAAAGCCCACAGGAGCCCCGCGCGACUCCUGCGGGCUUUUCGACCAGGAGGGAGAAGGGACUGAAACGGCCAGUCAGUCCCUUCUCCCUCCUCGGGGAAAAGCCCCCAAGAGCGGCGCGCUCUUUAAAGGGUGCGCGGCUCCUGCAGGCUUUUCUAGGAGGUGGGGGAAUUCCCCCCCUCGUAGAAAAGCCCGCAGAAGCCGCGGAGCCCCUUUAAAGAGCACGAGGCUUUUGCGGGAGGUGGGGGAAUUCCCCCCCUCGUAGAAAAGCCAGCAGAAGCCGCGGAGAUCCUUUAAAGAGCACGAGGCUUUUGCGGGCUUGUGCGGGACGUGGGGGAAUUCCCCCAUCUCCCCAAAAGCCCACAGGAGGGAGAAGGGACUGACUGGCCGAGUCAGUCCCUUCUCCCUCCUUGGGAAAAGCCCCAAGAGCCGCUCGUUCUUUAAAGGGUGUGCGGCUCCUGCGGGCUUUUCUAGGAGGUGGGGGAAUUCCCCCACCUCCUAGAAAAGCCGCGGAGCCCCUUUAAAGAGCGCGCGGCUUUUGCCUGCUUUUGCGGGAGGUGGGGGAAUUCCCCCAUCUCCCGCAAAAGCCCAAAGGAGGGUUGGAGAGUAGCGGGAGGGCGUCGCGCGCCUUCCUGCUGCCCCCCAUCCUCUGGGGCUGGCGAUGGGGAGCGCUGCUUUCCCCCACCGCCAGCCUCGGCCGGGUUGGAGGGUAGCGGCAAGGCGUCGCGCCCCAACCCGCUGCACCCCAACCUCUGAGGCUGGCGAUGGGGGAAGCGCUGCUUUCCCCACCGCCAGCCUCGUAGCCGGGUUGGAGGGUAGCGGCAGGGCGUCGCGCGCCUUCCCGCUGCCCCCAUCCUCUGGGGCUGGCGAUGGGGAAGCGCUGCUUCCCCACCGCCAGCCUCGAGCCGGGUUGGAGGGUAGCGGCAAGGCGUCGCGCGCCUUCCCGCUGCCCCCAUCCUCUGGGGCUGGCGAUGGGGAAGCGCUGCUUCCCCACCGCCAGCCUCGAGCCGGGUUGGAGGGUAGCGGCAAGGCGUCGCGCGCCUUCCCGCUGCGAGCCAUCCUCUGGGGGUGGAGAUGUGGGAAGCGCUGCGGUCCCCACCGCCAGCCUCGAAGCCGGGUUGGAGGGUAGCGGCAAGGCGUCGCGCGCCUUCCCGCUGCCCCCCAUCCUCUGGGGCUGGCGAUGGGGGAAGCGCUGCUUUCCCCACCGCCAGCCUCGAAGCCGGGUUGGAGGGUAGCGGCAAGGCGUCGCGCGCCUUCCCGCUGCCCCCCAUCCUCUGGGGCUGGCGAUGGGGAAGCGCUGCUUCCCACCGCCAGCCUCGGCCGGGUUGGAGGGUAGCGGCAGGCGUCGCGCGCCUUCCCGCUGCCCCCAUCCUCUGGGGCUGGCGAUGGGGAAGCGCUGCUUCCCCACCGCCAGCCUCGGCCGGGCUGGAGGGUAGCUGCAAGGCGUCGCGCGCCUUCUCGCUGCCCCCAUCCUCUGGGGCUGGCGAUGGGGAAGCGCUGCUUUCCCCACCGCCAGCCUCAAAGAGCAGACUCUCCUGGCUUCAGCGGAAGCAACGCGAAGCCUCCGGAGCGCAGGCUUCGGAGGCUUCGCAUUGCUAUCGCUGAAGCCGAGGAGUCUGCAUUCGCUCCAUAGGACGCACACACAUUUCCCCUUCAUUUUUGGAGGGGAAAAAGUGCGUCCUAUGGUCCGAAAAAUACGGUACCCAUAAUUAAAAUGUGCAGCAAAGCAAUCCUAUUGAAAUAACACAGCAGAAUUAGAUAAACUAACAGGAAGGAUUCAAAACCGGCGAGACCAGAAAUUCACGGAAGACUGGAGUAAACUGAAAAGUAAUUGUGAAGAACAGACGACGUUUGUAGGGUUGCAAGAAGUUUUGUGAGGAGUAUUAUUAGAAGUAUGGGAAAAAUGGACAAGGGGGAGGAUGAUUUGUUAAGAGAUGUAAAGGCAAUAUAAAGUUAAGAAAUGCAUAAGAAGUGGUUAAAAUGGUGGAUCAUCAGAGGUGCUGAUGGAAGUCUAAAAAGAUUGUAUAAGUGAUAAGUUUUGUGGUACAUUUUAUAAUUUAUUAGUUAAAAUUUUAUAUAUAUAUAUAUAUAUAUAUAUAUAUAUAUAUAUAUAUAUAUACGCAGCAAUUAACAGGAAGGAAACAACAGAGCAUUGUGUAGCAGAUCAUAUUUCUGCUGUCUCAGAGGAGGACAUUUCCUUUUUCUUUCAGGGUCCAGUGUGCUUUGAAGAUGUUGCUGUUCGUUUCACGGACGAGGAGUGGGCGUUGCUGGAUCCUGACCAGAGAGCUCUGCAUAAGGACGUCAUGGAGGAGAAUCGUGGGAUCGUGGCCUCUCUUGGUAAGCCUCCGUGUGGGAUCGUCCUAUCUGCCUGGAAAUUCAAAAAAUACCUCUAUGUAACAAACCUCAUACAUUUCCACAGAGCUCAGCAGCGCCCCCUAUAACGCCUGGGAACCUAACACCCUCACAAGAAAUAGUAAAUUACAGUUUUUUCUGUCAAAAAUCUUCCUCCAGUUCUGCCUUUUUAUACCAUGAUUCGGCUGAUCUGAACUGCCCAGGCAUCUUAAAUGUCACCUUCAGAGUUGUUAGGAAAGAUAAGUAGCUUCUGUCAGGUUUUCUGUUUUUGAUUUUGCUGCUGUCAGUCUUGGGUUGACCAGAGAGACGACUGACAUUGGCGAUGGAGGGGAUGCCAUGACUGGGCCAAACAAAAUCCGUCCCAGAGAAGAGACAGGCUUAUUGAAUCUCAGGGAGCACUAGCAGUGAUAAUAAUAGUAAUAAUUUUUAUUUAUCCCUGCCCAUCUGACUGGGUUGCCCCAUCCACUCUGGAUGGCUUCCAACACAUACAUACACAUGAAACAUUAAUAAUAACCAUCUGAUCCCAUAUAAAAAAUACAUUAACUUUAAAUGAACAACUUAUACUAGUGGCUAAAAUCGUGGAAACUUUUUAAAAAGUGUGUUUCCGAGGUUUGAUGGCUCAUAACACCACUUUUUGGGGGAGGAAAGAUAAUUUAAUGAAGAAUGCAGUGCAAUAACUUUUAUGAAGGAGUAUUUAUUAGAACAGCAGUCAUAAAAAAGAAAUGUGAAACACAUGGAAAAAAGGAGAUGUACAGAAAUUUUCACCAUGUCAAUUAAUACUGACUUUGGUAACCUUUAGCUUUAAUUAGAAUCAUAGAAUCAUAGAAUCAUAGAGUUGGAAGAGACCACAAGGGCCAUCGAGUCCAACCCCCUGCCAAGCAGGAAACACCAUCAGAGCACUCCUGACAUAUGGUUGUCAAGCCUCUGCUUAAAGACCUCCAAAGAAGGAGACUCCACCACACUCCUUGGCAGCAAAUUCCACUGUCAAACAGCUCUUACUGUCAGGAAGUUCUUCCUAAUGUUUAGGUGGAAUCUUCUUUCUUGUAGUUUGGAUCCAUUGCUCCGUGUCCGCUUCUCUGGAGCAGCAGAAAACAACCUUUCUCCCUCCUCUAUGCGACAUCCUUUUAUAUAUUUGAACAUGGCUAUCAUAUCACCCCUUAACCUCCUCUUCUCCAGGCUAAACUUGCCCAGCUCCCUUAGCCGUUCCUCAUAAGGCAUCGUUUCCAGGCCUUUGACCAUUUUGGUUGCCCUCCUCUGGACACGUUCCAGUUUGUCAGUGUCCUUCUUGAACUGUGGUGCCCAGAACUGGACACAGUACUCCAGGUGAGGUCUGACCAGAGCAGAAUACAGUGGCACUAUUACUUCCCUUGAUCUAGAUGCUAUACUCCUAUUGAUGCAGCCCAGAAUUGCAUUGGCUUUUUAGCUGCCGCGUCACACUGUUGGCUCAUGUCAAGUUUGUGGUCAACCAAGACUCCUAGAUCCUUUUCACAUGUACUGCUCUCAAGCCAGGUGUCCCCAUCUUGUAUUUGUGCCUCUCAUUUUUUUGCCCAAGUGCAAUACUUUACAUUUCUCCCUGUUAAAAUUCAUCUUGUUUGUUUUGGCCCAGUUCUCUAAUCUGUCAAGGUCGUUUUGAAGUGUGAUCCUGUCCUCUGGGGUAUUAGCCACCCCUCCCAAUUUGGUGUCAUCUGCAAAUUUGAUCAGGAUGCCCUUGAGUCCAUCAUCCAAGUCGUUGAUAAAGAUGUUGAAUAAGACCGGGCCCAAGACCGAACCCUGUGGCACCCCACUAGUCACUCUUCUCCAGGAUGAAGAGGAACCAUUGAUGAGCACCCUUUGCGUUCGGUCAGUCAGCCAGUUACAAAUCCACUGAGUGGUAGCAUAGUCAAGACCGCAUUUUACCAGCUUCUUUACAAGAAUAUCAUGGGGCACCUUGUCAAAUGCCUUGCUGAAAUCAAGGUAGGCUACAUCCACUGCGUUCCCUUCAUCUACCAGGCUUGUAAUUCUGUCAAAAACGAGAUCAGGUUAGUCUGACAUGACUUAUUUUUCAGAAAUCCAUGCUGACUAUUGGUGAUCACAGCAUUCCUUUCUAGGUGCUCACAGACUGUUUGCUUAAUGAUCUGCUCCAGAAUCUUCCCUGGUAUUGAUGUCAGACUGACUGGGCGGUAAUUAUUUGGGUCCUCUCUUUUCCCUUUUUGAAAAUAGGGACAACAUUUGCCCUCCUCCAGUCUGCCGGGACUUCGCCUGUUCUCCAGGAAUUCUCAAAGAUGACUGCCAGUGGUUCUGAGAUCACAUCUGCCAGUUCUUUUAAUACUCUUGGAUGCAGUUCAUCUGGCCCUGGAGACUUGAAUACAUCUAAACUAGCCAAGUAUUCUUGUACUAUCUCCUUAGUUAUUCUGGGCUGUGUUUCCUUUGCUGAAUCAUUUGCUCCGAAUUCUUCAGGUCGGGCAUUGUUUUCUUUAUCGGAGAAGACUGAGGCAAAGAAGGCAUUGAGGAGUUCUGCCCUUUCUGUGUCCCCUGUUUGCAUUUCACCAUCUUCUCCUCUGAGUGACCCCACUGUUUCUUUGUUCUUCCUUUUGCUACGGACAUACCCAUAAAAGCCUUUUUGUUGCUUUUAACCUCUCUAGCAAGCCUGAGUUCAUUCUGUGCUUUAGCUUUUCUGACUUUGUGUCUACACGUGCUGGCUAUUUGUUUGAAUUCCUCUUUGGUGGUUUCCCCCCCUUUUCCAUUUUUUGUACACAUCCUUUUUUAAUCUUAACUCAGUUAAAAGUUCUUUAGAUAGCUACCCUGGUUUCUUUAGGCACCUUCCAUGUUUCUGUCUCAUUGGUAUUGCCUGACGUUGUGCUUUUAGUAUCUCCCUCUUAACAAACUCCCAGCCAUCAUGAACUCCCUUUCCUUUUAGUAUUACUGUCCAUGGGAUCUCACCCAGCACUUCCUAAGUUUUAUGAAGUCAGCUUUCUUAAAGUCAAGAAAUUGAGUCCUAGUAUGCUUGGCUGCUCCUUUCCGCUGUAUAGUAAACUUCAGAAGAGCAUGAUCACUCGCGCCUAAUGAUCCUUCCACUUCUACCCCACUAACCAGGUCAUCAACAUUGGUUAGGACCAGAUCUAAAAUGGCUGUUCCUCUUGUUGCUUCUCCCACUUUCUGGACAAUGAAGUUGUCUGCAAGGCCAGUGAGGAAUCUGUUUGACCUUAUGCUCUUGGCUGAGUUUGACAUCCAACAAAUAUCCGGGUAAUUGAAGUCCCCCAUUACUACUAUCUCCCUUCCUUUUGCAUGCUUGGCCAUCUGUUCCAGGAAGGCAUCAUCUAUGUCCUCCGUUUGGCUUGGGGAUCUAUAGUAAACUCCCACAAUGAGGUCACUGUUAUUCUUCUCUCCCUUAAUUUUGACCCAAAUGCUCUCACUUUGGCUUUGAGGUUCUAAAUCUUGGAUCUCUUCACAGGUAUACACAUCCCUGACAUAUAACGCCACUCCUCCUCCUUUCUUGUCUGGUCUGUUUCUCCGAAAUAGAAACAGACCAGACAAGAAUUCCAGGCUUACAAUGCCUUCCCAUGGAGUGAAGCAAGUUUUUUAGUUCUGCAGCUGUGAAACCAAGAUGGAAUUAUUAUUAUUAUUAUUAUUAUUAUUAAUAAUAAUAAUAAAUUUUUAUUUCCCCAGCCAAAUUUUUAUAUCCCCAGCCAAGACCGGGCUCAGGGUGGUUAACAACCAGUAAUAAAAACAAGUUGAUUCAUAUACAAUUUAAAAGAUUAAGAUACAACAUUAAAACAUUAGGAUGCAGCCUCUUCAAGGGAGGAGAAAGGAAAAAGAAAGAGGGGGAGGGAAUCAAACUGAUUCUAAGCCAAAGGCCAGGUGGAACAACUCUGUCUUACAGGCCCUGCGGAAAUAAAUCAGAUCCUGCAGGGCCCAGGUCUCAUGAGACAGAGCGUUCCACCAGGCUGGAGCCAGUGUUGAGAAGGCCCUGGCUCUGGUUGAGGCUAAUCUAACUUCCUUAGGGCCCAGGACCUCUAGGGUGUUGCUAUAUAUGGACCUUAAGGUCCUCCGGGCUUUAAAGGUCAAAAGCAGCACCUUAAAUCUGACCCUGUACUCCACCGGGAGCCAGUGCAGCUGGAAAAGCACUGGGUGAAUAUGCUCCCAUGGCAGAGACCCCGUGAGGAGCCUUGCUGCAGCAUUCUGCACCCGCUGGAGUUACUGGGACAGCUUCAAGGGGAGCCCUGCGUAGAGCGAAUUACAGUAGUCAAGCCUGGAGAUGACCGUCGCAUGGAUCACUGUGGCCAGGUCAGGGCGGGAGAGGUAAGGGACCAGCUGCUUGAUGCGGCAAAGGUGGGAAAAUGUCGCCUUGGCUGUUGUAACCUGCGCCUCCAUGGAAAGGGAGGCGUCAAGGAUUACACCCAAACUCUUAACGGAAGGCAAUGGCAAGAGAAGGGAGUUGGUCCCUCAUCCCCUCAUUUCGCUUGGGCUAUUCCCAGGCCAUUCCAGCAGUGGAAUAAGAUUUCCCAUUCAGAACGCUUCAGUUCAGGUUCAGGUAUUUGAUUUAUGUGUUUGGGGGCAUUGACGUUCCCAUUAAUGACACUGCUGCUGCUGCUGCUGCUGCACCGUGAGUGUUGGGGAAGGCCGCUCCCUCCUUAGGCUAAUUCCACCUGGCCUAGGGGCCCCACACUCACCUCCGCCACAGCCUUAAGGACACUGGUGCUGCUGCAGCAAAUGUUAAAAAUGUUUUUAUAUAUUUUAAAGUGUUUUAAAGGUGUUUUUACAUUUACUUUGUUGUACCACCAUGAACAGUGGUUUUUAUUUAUGUAUUUUUAUUUUGUUCCGUUUUAUUUUGAUUUGGGGUUGUAUAUUGAGUGGGGUGGGGACUGGUUUUGUUUGGUAUAAUUGUUUGUGGUUUGUUUUGUUUUUCUAUUUGGUAAAUGGAGGCUAGUAUGAGGCUUGGGAUUGCUACUGUGGAGGGGCGAGGGAGGUAUGGCAGUGGGGGCAGAUGUUAUAGGCGAAGGGGAUUGAGAUACGGAUAUGCUCGUACUCCUUCCAAUCUGCGCCCCAUCCUGAGGGACGAGGGUAGGGUGAGCAAGGAUUACUCACCUCCGUCACUGGUGUUGUGCAAUGCCAGAUCUAUAGGCAAUAAAACCGCCACCCUGCGAGAUUUCUUUACCUCGCAGGGGGGUCGACCUGGCUUGUGUGACGGAGACCUGGGUGUGCGAAGAGGAAACUGUUACCUUACGAGAGAUGGCGCCCCCGGGUUUCUCUGUCCUCUGGCUGGGACGGGACGAUAUGGGAUUGAGGGGGCAACUCCCAUCUCUUGCGGGGGUGCAAUUAGUGCCAGCACCGGACUUCCAGGGUGGCGCCAUCAGUAAUGGCGGAUUCCCUCUGACUCGGAGGGGACUGGCUCUGUGGAAAUCGGGUCUGCACCGCUAUGGCGAAGCGGGGACCCUUCAAAAAUCACAGGCAGGUGAAGCCUGUGACCGUGGGACUCGGCGGGCACCUUUUGCGCCCCCCCAACUUGCAAAGGAGCCCGAUUACAGGUUCCGGAGCGGAGCGGGGAAGUGGCGCGGUGCUGUGAGUCAACUGCAUCUUCCGUGGAGCGAAGCCGCAUAGCCGUUACCGGAGAGCGCUGCCUUUUUCCUGGGACAAUUUGGCUGCAAAACAACGAUCUGUGAGUAGGCUAAUUUCGGAAACAAAGGAACUAAGAAAUAAUUUGGCACCGAAGCGGAGAGGCAUAAACAGGAAGUCUGCCUUCCGUUCUUUGUAAAUGGAGUAAAGCAAUGAACUUGUAAGUGGAAACCUCGAAAGACGUUGGAAAAGGAUUACAAUUCUAACAUCAAAUAAGCGAUUCCCCCCCCCCUUGAUUGCAGGGGAGGAGGGGGAAAAGGUCUGAACUGUAUUUCCCUGCAAAAAGAGAGAAAAGGAAGCUAAAAUCCACCGCUUAAAACCUGGGAAUGGGUUGCCAGUGAACAGUAAGAAUGCCGUAUUGUGAAAUGCGCUGCUGCUGAAAGUACUCUUUGACAGUUAACUCUGCAAGUGAGAUACAAGUAAGAUACAAUAUUUCUGGCUGGCUUCUCCUGGUUUUAAAGUAACUGAAAACAACUGAGAUUGAAAUUGUCGUCCUUUUUGUGAAUUGGGGGGCUAAAGGAAAAAAGGUUAAUUACUUUAAGACAAUAAUUUCUGACUGCUACUGUGUCCCCCUAGAGGAAGUUUGAAAUUGUUACAAUAGUAGCUGGGCCAGGGGAAUUUUCCACUUCAAAACAAAUUCUGAUCGUGAGACUGACCUUGGGCCUUAUCUAGAGUGUUAUGGCAGAUGGAAAGGAGAAAAUAGAUUUGCUACAGGAAAAAACAAUGAGAUCUGGCAGAUUAUUUCGUAAAGACGGUGGGCUGCAGUGAAGAACAUCGACAUCUGGUCCUUCUGGAUUACCAACAGGAGCCUCAUCGGCACAACCUAAACCCCCCUUGAUUGGAACUGGUGGAAAUGACUGGCAGAAUCCGAGACCAGGGAGAAGAGUCGGUGGAAGAAGAUUGGAAGAAAUUCAAAGAUUAUCUACAGAAAUAUUGCAAAAUUAAUGAAUGUUAGAAUGAUGUUAGAAUGAAGUUAGGUGGUUUAAGCAGCAAUGCUAUAAAGGUGUAUGUAAAAAUGGACUGAUAACAGGUGAAAAUCCAAAGUUAUAGUAUAUUAAGUUAAAGGAUUAAGAGAAAUACAGAGGGAAAGAAAUUGCUGACUUAACUAACUGAAUUGGAAUACAAAAAAGGGAGGUAUGAGGAGGUCAGGGAAGUAAGGAUAUGAAUGUAAGGCAUGGAAAGAUUGAUGUAUUUUUAAAGUGUUUUUUAUUAUUUUAUUCUGUAUUUUGUAUUUUUCUUGUAUUUUUACUUUUGUCUUUUGUUUUUGUCUUUUUUUGUUUUUUCUCCUUGUCUUUAUUUAUGUAAUUCUUCUUUUUGAAAUUUUAAUAAAUAUCAUUUUAAAAAAAAAGCAAUUAGUGCCAGCACCAUCCGUUAAGAGUUUGGGUGUAAUCUUUGAUACCUCCCUCUCUAUGGAGGCGCAGAUUACAGCUACAGCAAAGGCGGCAUUUUUUCAUCUCCGCCAAGCUAAGCAGUUGGCUCCUUAUCUCUCUCGCCCUGACCUAGCCACUGUGAUCCACGCGACGGUCACCUCCAGACUGGAUUAUUGUAACUUACUCUACGUGGGGCUGCCCUUGAGACUGACCCAGAAACUCCAGCGGGUGCAGAAUGCUGCGGCGAGACUCCUUACGGGGUCUUCGCUGCGAGAUCACAUUCAUCUGGUACUAUACCAGCUGCACUGGCUCCCGGUGGAGUACAGGAUCAGGUUUAAGGUGCUGGUUUUAACCUUUAAAGCCCUAUACGGCCUAGGACCCUCGUACCUACGGGACCGCCUCUCCUGGUAUGCCCCACAGAGAAACUUACGGUCUUCAAAUAAAAACAUCUUGAAGGUCCCAGGCCACAGAGAAGUUAGGCUGGCCUCAACUAGAGCCAGGGCUUUCUCGGCUGCGGCUCCAAUCUGGUGGAAUGCUCUGUCACAAGAGACUAGGGCCCUGCGGGACCUGACAUCUUUCCGCAGGGCUUGCAAGACAGAGCUGUUCCACCAGGCCUUUGGUCAGGGCGCAGCCUGACUCCCUCCUCUGGCAAUCUGCACAGAAUUUUGCUUAACGGUUGCCAUUAAUUUGAUUUUAAUUAAUUUUUAUAAUGGAAUGUUUUUAGAAUGUGGGAUUAUUUGAUUGUUGUUAGCUGCCCUGAGCCCGGCUUCGGCUGGGAAGGGCAGGAUAUAAAUAAAAUUUAUUAUUAUUAUUAUUAUUAUUAUUAUUAUUAUUCUGCCCACACCUUUUGCUGUCAUACAACCCCAGAUCAUCACACUGUCUGGGUGUUUCACGGUCAGUGUAAUGCAAGUAGGAUGUAAAUCUCCGAUUCUCCUCCUCGCAUAUUUCAUGCCAUCACUACCAAGCAAGGAGAUUGGGGUCUCAUCACACCAAAUAACACUGUCCCAUUGUUCCGCUGUCUGGUUACCAUGGGUUUUAGCCCAGUUUAAUCUUUUCCACCUUGGCUUGAGAUAUAAUGUAAUGGAUUUAGGGGUUGCUCGUGCGUAAGUUGCCGCCACUGCUGGCGAGGUUACCUGGUUAAACCCUUUCUGACUGAACAGCCUCCAGCAUCGUGACUGUCUCAGUCGCUGGCAGAAUCCGUCAGUGGGCGUUUCUUGAACCUUUUCCAGCAUAAAAGUUGUUUGACGCCAAGUCUCCUCCUACUCUCCCUGCGCGGAAGUCUUCUGCGCAGGGAGGGUGUGGGCAGCGGAGUACCCGUACUCUCUCCGCUGGUCUCCGGCGAGGAGUCUUGGAGCCUCCUCUCCGAUUCCCCCAUCUGCCCCCCUUCUCCACUGGUGUUACGCUGAUUUCCUUCCCCAGCAGAUGGGCUGCCUCUCUCCCUACUGGGGCCCUCUCCUGCAUCCCUCUGGAGCCUUCCCUCCGCCUCUAGCUCCGAUGGCAGUUCCCUGACAUAUAACAAUGGCUUUUUCCUUAGAAUUCUAGCAUUUAGACCAGUCCUUGCACUCAACUUCACCUUCCGUUGCCCCAUGUCAUCUUGUAAACACCCAGAUGAUUUUCUUCUGACAUGUGGGCACAGACUCUUCAUUCUUCGAUCAUCACUUGCUGUUGUGCACCUUUUCCUGCCUUUACCAGUCUGAUUUUGUAGUGAUUGAGUCUCCUUAUGUUGUUCUUUAGUCAUUUAGUCCUGUCCGCCUCUUGGUGACCCCCUGGACCAGAGCAUGCCAGGGACUCCUGUCUUCCACUGCCUCCCGCAGUUUGGUCAAACUCAUGCUGGUAACUUCAACAACACUAUCCAACCAUCCUCUCCUCUGUCGUCCCCUUCUCCUUGUGCCCUCCAUCUUUCCCAACAUCAGGGUCUUUUCCAGGGAGUCUUCUCUUCUCAUCAGGUGGCCAAAGUAUUGGAGCCUCAGCUUCAGGAUCUGUCCUCCCAGUGAGCACUCAGGGCCGAUUUCCUUCAGAAUGGAUACGUUUGAUCUUCUUGCAGUGUAUGGGAGUCUCCUUAUACCUCUUCACAAAUAUAGAAAGGCCAGCUUUGGUUAAGUUUUCCUCAAUCUUUCUUCUUCUUUUUUCUUUUUAAAAAUGAAUAUUUAUUGAAUUUUAUAACAAAUAAAAAUAUAUCAAUCAUCAUGUUAUAUACAAAUGUUCUCCCUCCCAUCCUCUGGACUUCCCUCAACUCCCCUCUACUGAGUUAUUUGGUUUUAUUUAUUGCGUCCUGCUUUAUAUAAAAGUAAAUUCCCUUACCAUUUCUCUAAUUUGUCUGUUACUAUAAUAAAGUUUAUUCAGACCCUGCCAGUUGUUGUUUCUGCAAAUAACCUGUAAAUGUUUCCCAAACUUUUAAAAUCCUUUUUGUCCUUCUCUUGUAGUUUAUCUGUUAGCUUAGCCAAUUCUGCAUAAUUCAUCAGUUUUUCUUACCAGUGUUCUUUUGAUGGUAUUUCUUCCAUCUUCCAAUUUUGUGCAGUCAAGAUUCUUGCCGCUGUUGUUGUUGUUGUUGUUUAGUCGUUUAGUCGUGUCCGCCUCUUCGUGACCCCCUGGACCAGAGCACACCAGGCACUCCUGUCUUCCACUGCCUCCCUCCUGCUGGUAGCUUCGAGAACACUGUCCCACCAUCUCGUCCUCUGCCGUCCCCUUCUCCUUGUGCCCUCCAUCUUUCCCAACAUCAGGGUCUUUUCCAGGGAGUCUUCUCUUCUCAUGAGGUGGCCAAAGUCUUGGAGCCUCAGUUUCAGGAUCUGUCCUUCCAGUGAGCACUCAGGGCUGAUUUCCUUCAGAAUGGAGAGGUUGGAUCUUCUUGCAGUCCAUGGGACUCUCAAGAGUCUCCUCCAGCACCAGAAUUCAAAAGCAUCAAUUCUUCGGCGAUCAGCCUUCUUUAUGGUCCAGCUCUCACUUCCAUACAUCACUACUGGGAAAACCACAGCUUUAACUAUACGGACCUUUGUCGGCAAGGUGAUGUCUCUGCUUUUUUAAGAUGCUGUCUAGGUUUGUCAUUGCUUUUCUCCCAAGGAGCAGGCGUCUUUUAAUUUCGUGACUGCUGUCACCAUCUGCAGUGAUCAUGGAGCCCAAGAAAGUAAAAUCUCUCACUGCCUCCAUUUCUUCCCCUAUUUGCCAGGAGGUGAUGGGCCCAGUGGCCAUGAUCUUCGUUUUUUUGAUGUUGAGCUUCAGACCAUAUUUUGCACUCUCCUCUUUCACCCUCAUUAAAAGAGUUGUUGUAGCAUACAUAAAUAAUGUAUGCUAUAAAUAAUGUCCCUUUUUCUUUUGGCAGCUCUUGAUUUGAGAUACCUAACAGAAAGGCUUCAGGAUGUUUACCAAAGCUCAUUUUAAACAUUCUUUUCAGUUCAUUAAAUAUCAUUUCCCAGUAUUUUUUAAUGCAUUUGCAUUCCCACCACAUAUGAUAAAAUGUUCCUUUCUUUUCUUUACAUCUCCAGCAUCUCUUAUUUUCUUUCUUAAACAUCUUUGCCAUUUUCACUGAUGUGAUAUACCAUCUAUACAUCAUUUUCAUGUAAUUCUCUCUUAAUAAUAUACAAUCUGUAAAUUUUAUAUCAACUUUCCACAAUAUAACAUAACACACUGACAAAAGUCAAGCUAAGCAAGUUGUGCUUCCUUUUUCUGGUUAUUCCGCUAUGACUUUUGAUAGAAUACAGAUAAUUACAUUCUUCAUUAAAUUAUCUUUCCAUUGAUACAUAAUUUUGUGGUAUUACUCUAAACGAAGUCGUGUUACGAAGCAUCAAACAUCUGAAAUAUACUAUUUUCCCAAAAGGCUUCCACAAUUUUGGCCACUACUGUAUAUCAAACAAAUCAACACUCAACAACCAUCAGAAUAUAUGAAUAAAAAUGUUGGUUAAUGACAACCAACAAAGGCAAUGAACAAAGACCCAACUCCCUUCAGUUCUUCUUGAUUUGUUCCUGAGGUUCUAAUCCCUUUUUUGUCUCCAUUGCAGAUUUUGAUGAAUUGGAAAACAAGAACAAGGAUGAACAUGACAAAACCCCUGGAGAGGAGAAGCCAUGCAAAAAUUUGGAAUGUGGAGAGAGCUGCAGUCAGAACUCCCAUUCCACUUCCCAACAAAGAAUUCUCAUUGGAAAGAAACCCUAUCAGUGCGUGGAAUGUGGAAAGAGCUUCAGUCAGAACUCCAAUCUCACUAAGCAUCAGAAAAUUCAUACAGGGGAGAAACCCUAUCAGUGUGUGGAAUGUGGAAAGAGCUUUAGUCACAGCUCUGAUCUCACUAAUCAUCACAGAAUUCAUACAGGGGAGAAACCCUAUCAGUGCAUGGAAUGUGGAAAGACCUUCAGUCAGAGAGGCCAUCUCACUUCCCAUCAGAGAAUUCAUACAGGAGUGAAACCCUAUCAGUGUGUGGAAUGUGGAAAGAACUUCAGUCACAGCCACUGUCUCACUUCCCAUCAAAGAAUUCAUACAGGAGAGAAACCGUAUCAGAGUGUGGAAUGGUGAUAGAGCAUCAGUCUGAGCUCCAAUCUCACUACGCACCAGUGAAUUCAUACUGGGGCGAAACCCUUUAAGUGCAUGGUUUGUGAAAAGAGCUUCAGUACGAGUUCCCAUCUCACUUCCCAUCAGAGAAUUCAUACAGGUGAGAAACCCUAUCAGUGUGUGGAAUGUGGAAAGAGCUUCAGGCAGAAAGCUCAGCUCAUAUCCCAUCAGAGAAUUCAUACAGGGGAGAAACCCUAUCAGUGCAUGGAAUGUGGAAAGAGCUUCAGUCACAGCCACAGUCUCACUUCCCAUCAAAGAAUUCAUACAGGGGAGAAACCAUAUAAUUGCUUUGAAUGUGGAAAGAGCUUUAGUAAGAGCUGUAAGCUCACUUCCCAUCAAAGAAUUCAUACAGGAGAGAAACCCUAUCAGUGCGUGGAAUGUGGAAAGAGUUUCAUCCAGAGAGCACAUCUGAAUACCCAUCAAAGAAUUCAUACAGGGGAGAAACAAUAUAAAUGCUUUGAAUGUGGAAAGAGCUUUAGUAAGAGCAGCACUCUCACUUCCCAUCAAAAAAUUCAUACACAUACAGGGGGAAACCCUAUCAUUGCGUGGAAUGUGGAAAGAGCUUCAGUAUGAGCUCCAGUCUCACUUCCCAUCAAAGAAUUCAUACAGGGGAGAAACCCUAUCAGUGUGUGGAAUGUGGAAAGAGCUUCAGUCAGAGCUCCAAUCUCACUAGGCAUCAGAGAAUUCAUGCAACAGUUGGAAAAACCAUUAUCCAGCUUUAGGAGCCAGGCAAAUCCGCACCUUGCUAACCAGGCCUUUGCCUGAUUGACAUCUAAUGCCCUUUUAAAAUGUGGUAGUGAGGGGGGUUACAGAUGUAUAUUUUGUGUUUUUAUGUUGUCUUUUUAUAUUGUAACCGUCCUGAGACAUGUGGGAACAGGAGUCGACUUUUAGAGGCUGAGGGGAUUUUGCCCCCCAAUGAUAUAUUUGAGGGGGCCACCCCCCCCCCAGUUGGUAGGCAUCGCCAUUCCAAUGCCCUUUAUGCAUCAUGUGAUUGAUUGUGCAAGGCAGGCCUUACCUGGCCCCUUCCUCCAAUAUUUUAUUCAAGUUGGCACCACAGAGUCAGGUGGUAGACAAAUAAUUACAUAAAUCACCUUCCUUUGCACAUGUUUCAGCUUGUCAAUAUCCUUAUUUAUUAUCAUUUUUAAUAUUUAUGUGCCCUUCAUCUGAAGAUUUCACAACAGAAACAUACAGGAUAAAAGCAUGGCUUUCUCAAAAACAAGUCAAGCCAGAGAAAUCUCUCCUCCCCUUUUUUUGGAUGAAGUUACAAACUUUGUUGAUCAGGGGAGAGCUGUGGAAAUAGUUCAUCUUGAUUUCAGUAAGGCUAUUGACAAAGUGCCCCCAUGAAAUAUUUACGUGGAAGCUGGUAAUAUGUGAGCUGAACGAAGAAUCUGUUAGGCGGAUUUGACUGACCGAACCCAAAGAGGACUCCUUCAUGGUUCCUCAUCAUCCUGGGGAAAAGUGACAAGAGGGGUGCUGCAGGGUUCUGUCCUGGGCCCGUUGUUGUUCAGCGUCUUUAUGAAUGACUUGAAUGAAGGAACUGAGAGGAUGCUCAUCACAUUUGCGGACGACACCAAACGGGGAGCACAGGCCAAUGUGGCAGAAGGCAGAAUCAGAUCAAGGGCAGGAAUAGUACCACUUUCUUCUGCCUUGGUCAGGCCCCACCUAGAAUACUGUGUUCAGUUCUGGGCAUCACAAUUUAAGUAUCCAAAAGGUGGGGGAACACAAUCCGUAUUCCUUUUAUAACAUGUGGCCAAUGUUUAUUGAAUACAUAAAUUGUGAAGACUGUUGCCGGAAUCUACCCGGCACUCGUGGGAAAAUGUGGUGUGAUCUUUUAGAAUAAUCAAUUGAAACUUUAACACAUGGCAGGAUGAAAGUCUGCAAUUCCAUGAGGACAAGGUAUUUGUUGCUUACUGUUGUAACCAUUGCUUUCUUUAAAAUUCUCUUUUAUACGAUGAAAUAAAUAAAAGCACAGGUCUAAUUUCAUCUGGAGAUGGUAUCUCCCAUUAUUUUCACAUAAUCUAAGUGUUUAUUCAGGUGAGGCUGAUUGAAACACUAGAGAAAAAUGUGGGAGUCAUAAAGCCACGGCAGAGGCUUGUAUUGCUGCAUGGUGCCUGCUGAUCUCAGUGACCAGCAUGUCUGUGCCUUGUAAUGUAUUGAAUGUAUUGACCUUAUAUGGAGUUGUGUUCCCCCUCUGGGCAGUAAUUACCUUAUAUGGCGAUGGGUGUUGUAAAGCCAUGAUUGGGCAUGUAACGUGAGACAUUGGCAGACGGCCAUGCAGGCUGAGAGAGAGACAAAGGAUAAUAAAAAGUUACCGGAGGGAGAGAGAAGUUGAAGGAGCUGCUCCUCCAUCCUG